ACGACGGCCUAAAGAGCGGAAAAGCCCAUUAGUUUCAAAGUUUUAUUCGUUAACACAUAAAGCUUUGAUAACUAGAUACUGCGCGUGUCUGACUGAUGUUUUGCUUUAUUAAUUUGAUUGCCUUCUUUAGUUGUACGGGCGGCAAAUGAGUUGGCACGGCAAUACAAUCGAUGACUUUUUGGCCAGUUAACUGCCUGCCGCCAUCUCUCUGUAUAUCUCUCUAACCCUGCACUUUUAUUGUUAUCGUUUUGGUGCCUAAAGAGGAAUUACGGGGUUUUCGACGAGCUGGCGGUUCACUUUCACUGUCUGAGAAUGAAAUGGAGUCCGAUGUGGACUUCGACGUUAAAUCGACUGCAAAUUUCUCCUAGUCAUUGAUCACAGCUCAAGUAAUGUAAUUAUAUAAAUGGGUUGUUCUUGUACAAAAAGGCAUCUGAGUCAUUUUCUAACGCCAAAAAUGUAUUUAUUAGGGUAACUUAAUUUUUUACGCACAGUGCGGUUGUUAUUCGAUUCAUUUCAAGCGCAUAUGUUAUGCAGGUGUAAAAAAUGAGUUGUGUUGUUCGUUGUUUUUCCAACCGCUUUAGCUGGCAAUUUAAAACAUGUUCUUGCACUCAUAAUAUGACACAUUCCGUCUAUUUCAUUGAUUGAAUUGUAAUUGUGAACAAGAGGAGGCAUUCUGAGUGAACAGUUUUUUAUCCAAGCCAGUGAGAAAUGAAUAAAAGCGUGCUCAUAUAAACA
rnacentral:lncRNA from 1 species